rnacentral:rRNA from 1 species
UACGUAGGGCGCAAGCGUUGCCCGGAUUUAUUGGGCGUAAAGGGCGCGUAGGCGGCUCUGCACGUUCGUUGUGAAAUCGCCCGGCUCAACUGGGCGGGGUCAGCGGAUACGGCAGAGCUUGAGCAAGCUAGGGGGCAAUGGAAUUCCCGGUGUAGUGGUGGAAUGCGUAGAUAUCGGGAGGAACACCAGUGGCGAAGGCGGUUGCCUGGAGCUUUGCUGACGCUGAUGCGCGAAAGCGUGGGGAGCGAUCCGG